CCGCCAUGGGACGGGACUGCUUCCGAUCAGGUAGUAGGUGGGGUAAUGGCCCACCUAGCCUCUGACCGGUACGGGCCGUGAGAGCGAUAGCCCGGAGAUGGAUACUGAGACAACGAUCCAGGCCCUACGGGGUGCAGCAGUCGCGAAACCUGGCCAAUGAGCGCAAGCUUGAGCCGGCUAAACCGAGUGGGGUCCUAACGGGUCCCUUUUAACGAGUGUUAGUAGCUCGUUGAAUAAGGAGAGGGCAAGACUGGUGCCAGCCGCCGCGGUAAAACCAGCUCUUCGAGUGGUGGGCGUGCUUACUGGGCCUAAAGCAUCCGUAGCCGGGUCUGCAAGUCCACAGUUAAAGCCCACGUCUUAAGCGUGGAAUCGCUGUGGAUACUACAGACCUUGGGAUCGGGAGAGGCGUGAGGUACGUUUCGGGUAGGGGUGAAAUCCGAUAAUCCGAAACGGACCACCGGUGGCGAAGGCGUCACGCUAGAACGAGUCCGACGGUCAGGGAUGAAAGCCAGGGGAGCGAGCCGGAUUAGAUACCCGGGUAGUCCUGGCUGUAAACGAUGCCCGCUAAGUGUUGCGCAUGGCACGACUAUGCGCAGUGCCGAAGGGAAGCCGCUAAGCGGGCCGCCUGGGGAGUACGGUCGCAAGACUGAAACUUAA
rnacentral:rRNA from 1 species